UACGUAGGGUGCAAGCGUUGUCCGGAAUUAUUGGGCGUAAAGAGCUCGUAGGCGGUUUGUCGCGUCUGCUGUGAAAACUCGGGGCUUAACCCCGGGCCUGCAGUGGGUACGGGCAGACUAGAGUGCGGUAGGGGAGUCUGGAAUUCCUGGUGUAGCGGUGAAAUGCGCAGAUAUCAGGAGGAACACCGGUGGCGAAGGCGGGACUCUGGGCCGAUACUGACGCUGAGGAGCGAAAGCGUGGGGAGCAAACAGG
rnacentral:rRNA from 1 species